UUUUUUUUUUUUUACUUUUAGCCACAAAACAGAAGCAGGCCAUCUAUCCCUUUUAAUAUUUAGCUCCAUCAGUGCUACUAUGCCUUCGUGGCUGUAUAGAUAGGUCCAACGCAUAAAAGGCUCCAUUUGGAGCUCGGUGACAUUUUUUGAUGGUGAAAAUUAAUUAUUCACAGGUUAGGAUUAAGCGCUCAGGGAGAUGGGCUGUGGCUACUGUUGGAGGGUCAACAACUCUCCCAGCAAACAAAAAUACCCAGCCAGUGCUGCAUAUGGAGGGCCGAUGAUACAGACAGCGGAGUUGAGCAACAAAGGAAAAUCAUUUAAUAAAUGAAACCGUGACAACAGUUAUGUUUGUUGGCAUAAAGUGAGGAGGGGUAAGGGAGGAAGGUGGGGUGUGCAGGACUGCAGGCUUUGACAAACGGCUGUAUGUGUGGACAUUUCGACGCGCAAUACCCCGGGAAGGAGCUGAAGAGUUGCGCGCAGAGAGAGCCAGGGCGCUCACCGUCUCCAGGUCUCUGUGUGCGCUCUGUAAACACAGCCGGUCCGGCGCGCCGUGCCGCCUGAAGACUCCGAUUCUCAUAACCCAAAUACUGCGGGUCUCGUUGAUUUCUGUGCUAACGAUUGCAUCUCUUGUUUUUUUUUAUUUUAUUUUAUUUUUGUCAACCACUGUCCCUUUGGAUGACCCAUGGUCCUUCCACGCUUGCAUUGUCGGCUGGUUUCCUCCAAGGAGAUCGCCGGGAAGUCAGCCUGAACGCAGCUGCAUUCACGUGGAGCGACGCGUUUUGAUAUUCAGGUCACACAGAGGAGCAAACACUGCUCUCCUGCUCAAUAAACAUCAUUGAUAAGGCUCCACAUCCGGCCAUUUACAAAUACUGACCAGCUAAUAUUUCUGAAUGCUCAGAUAUGUCAUUUUCAGAUUUAUUGAAUUAGUUUAUUUAGAGUAAAAUUUCAAAAUUAUUUUAGCUUUGGAGGUGUCCUUUAUGUUGUGUCCACAUUAAAGUCACAGAAAGUUGA